rnacentral:rRNA from 1 species
GGGAUAUCUGCACCCUAGAGAAGGGCUUCUCCUUCGGGAGCAGAGUGACAGGUGGUGCAUGGUUGUCGUCAGCUCGUGUCGUGAGAUGUUGGGUUAAGUCCCGCAACGAGCGCAACCCUUGAUCUUAGUUGCCAUCAUUAAGUUGGGCACUCUAAGGUGACUGCCGGUGACAAACCGGAGGAAGGUGGGGAUGACGUCAAAUCAUCAUGCCCCUUAUGACCUGGGCUACACACGUGCUACAAUGGACGGUACAAAGAGCUGCAAGACCGCGAGGUGGAGCUAAUCUCAUAAAACCGUUCUCAGUUCGGAUUGUAGGCUGCAACUCGCCUACAUGAAGCUGGAAUCGCUAGUAAUCGCGGAUCAGCAUGCCGCGGUGAAUACGUUCCCGGGCCUUGUACACACCGA